GACGUAGGGUGCGAGCGUUGUCCGGAUUUAUUGGGCGUAAAGAGCUCGUAGGCGGCUCGUCGCGUCGACCGUGAAAACCCGCGGCUUAACUGCGGGCUUGCGGUUGAUACGGGCGGGCUAGAGUUCGGUAGGGGAGACUGGAAUUCCUGGUGUAGCGGUGAAAUGCGCAGAUAUCAGGAGGAAUACCGGCGGCGAAGGCGGCCUUCUGGGCCGUUCCUGACACUGAGACGCGAAAGCGUGGGGAGCAAACAGG
rnacentral:rRNA from 1 species